GAUGAACGCUGGCGGCGUGCCUAAUACAUGCAAGUCGAGCGAACGGACAAGAAGCUUGCUUCUCUGAUGUUAGCGGCGGACGGGUGAGUAACACGUGGAUAACCUACCUAUAAGACUGGGAUAACUUCGGGAAACCGUAGCUAAUACCGGAUAAUAUUUUGAACCGCAUGGUUCAAAAGUGAAAGACGGUCUUGCUGUCACUUAUAGAUGGAUCCGCGCUGCAUUAGCUAGUUGGUAAGGUAACGGCUUACCAAGGCAACGAUGCAUAGCCGACCUGAGAGGGUGAUCGGCGACACUGGAACUGAGACACGGUCCAGACUCCUACGGGAGGCAGCAGAAGGGAAUCUGCCGCAAUGGGGGAAAGCCUGACGGAGCAACGCCGCGUGAGUUAUGAAGGUCUUCGGAUCGUAAAACUCUGUUAUUAGGGAAGAACAGAUGUGUAAGGAACUGUGCACAUCUUGACGGUACCUAGUCAGAAAGCCACGGCUAACUACGUG
rnacentral:rRNA from 1 species